ensembl:rRNA 5S_rRNA 5S ribosomal RNA
GCUUACGGCCAUACCACCCUGAACAGGUCCGAUCUCAGAAGCUAAGCAGGUUCGGGCCUGGUUAGUACUUGGAUGGGAGACCGCCUGGGAAUACCAGGUGCUGUAAGCU